CAGGCCAGAAGGUCCCUCCUGUCUCACUUCACCUCCCCCAGGAUGGACCCUCCAGUCCAUCUGCGUCUCUCCAUUUGUGGCUGCCGUUUCUGUCCAGUGCCCCUGAGGCCCUCGGCUGCUGGGGUCCGUAGGAAGCCGCGCCAUGAAUGACCGGAGCAGUCGGAGGCGGACAAGUGAGGAAGCUGGGUCCCCUUCCCUACCCUGGGUCCCAGUGCGGUCGGCUCCAGGCUGCCGUGGUUGGGGGGUGGCCUGAGAGGCCCGGGGAAUUCUCUGGGGUAACCCGGGGCCUCUCCUCUCCAGUGAAGGACGAUGAGACCUUCGAGAUCUCCAUUCCCUUCGAUGAGGCACCCCACCUAGACCCACAGAUCUUUUACAGUCUGAGCCCCUCUCGGAGAAACUUCGAGGGUGAGCUGAGGGGGUGUGGAGGGACUGGAGUCAGCUGGGAAGCCAAGCCCUGAGUCCCAGGGUGUGACCUGGUCCCCCCACCCUCGCUGUGUCCCUAGAGCCUCCGGAGGCUGCGUCCUCCGCCCUGGCUCUGAUGAACAGCGUCAAGACCCAGCUGCACAUGGCUCUGGAGAGGAACUCCUGGCUGCAGAAGCGCAUCGAGGACCUGGAGGAAGAGAGGGACUUCCUGCGGUGCCAGCUGGACAAAUUCAUCUCUUCUGCUCGGAUGGAGGCAGGUGUGUGUGGGGUGCUCUGAUCCACAUGCCUCCCUGUCCCGCUACUGGGUACCCGCUCACCCAGACUCAAG
rnacentral:lncRNA from 1 species